rnacentral:tRNA from 1 species
AUAGCCAAGUGGUAAGGCAGAGGUCUGCAAAACCUCUAUUCCCCAGUUCAAAUCUGGGUGUCGCCU